UUCCAGCUCCAAUAGCGUAUAUUAAAGUUGUUGCAGUUAAAAGGCUCGUAGUUGGACUUCUGAUGUGAAAGAUCGGUCCACCGCAAGGUGAGCACUGAUUCUUCGCGUCUUCCUCUCGUAGUUGUUUCGCGCACUUAGUUGGGUGCGAGAUGAAUAUGGGACCUUUACUUUGAAAAAAUUAGAGUGUUCAAAGCAGGCAAUCGCUUGAAUACAUUAGCAUGGAAUAAUAGAAUAGGACUUUGGUUCUAUUUUGUUGGUUUCUAGGACCGAGGUAAUGAUUAAUAGGGACAGUUGGGGGCAUUAGUAUUUAAUUGUCAGAGGUGAAAUUCUUGGAUUUAUGAAAGACUAACUACUGCGAAAGCAUUUGCCAAGGAUGUUUUCAUCA
rnacentral:rRNA from 1 species